rnacentral:rRNA from 1 species
GAUGAACGCUAGCGGAGGCUUAACACAUGCAAGUCGAGGGGUAAAUGGUAGCAAUACUAUGAGACCGGCGGACGGGUGCGUAACGCGUAUGCAACAUACCUUGUGCAGGGGGAUAGCCCGUGGAAACGCGGAUUAAUAUUCCAUAGUCCAGCUAUAUCGCAUGGUAUAGUUGGUAAAGAUUUAUCGGCACAAGUUUGGCAUGCGUCUGAUUAGCUUGUUGGUAGGGUAACGGCCUACCAAGGCUACGAUCAGUAGGGGUUCUGAGAGGAUUAACCCCCACACUGGUACUGAGACACGGACCAGACUCCUACGGGAGGCAGCAGUGAGGAAUAUUGGUCAAUGGGCGGAAGCCUGAACCAGCCAUCCCGCGUGAAGGAAGACAGCCUUACGGGUUGUAAACUUCUUUUCUGUCAGAAGAAUAAGCUUGUCGAGACGAGUGAUGCCGGUAUGACAGGAAUAAGCAUCGGCUAACUCCGUG